rnacentral:rRNA from 1 species
UACAGAGGUCUCAAGCGUUGUUCGGAUUCAUUGGGCGUAAAGGGUGCGUAGGCGGCGCGGUAAGUCGGAUGUGAAAGCUCCAAGCUCAACUUGGAAAUGGCAUUGGAAACUACCUUGCUAGAGGGUUUGAGGGGGACUGGAAUAGCUUGGUGUAGCAGUGAAAUGCGUAGAUAUCAAGUGGAACACCAGUGGCGAAGGCGAGUCCCUGGAAACUCCUGACACUGAGGCACGAAAGCUAGGGAGCAAACAGG